GAUGAUGAUGAUGAUGAUGAUUUAUCCACAAGCAUGUGGUUUCUUUUUUUUCUUUCUAUAUUAUAUAUGUUAGUUUUCCAUCUAUAAUAUUCCUAUUAAAUAAAAUAAGUCUUCUCUGCAUAAAUAGAUGAUCCUGUAUGAUAUAGGCUAACAUAGUUGUACAAUUUGGUGAGAUUGGCUUGACUUCUUUUUUCUUCGUUUGUAAUAAUACAUUAUUAUUGAUU
rnacentral:lncRNA from 1 species